UGGGUCGGUGGGUUGAGAAAAGGUAGACAACCGUGCGUUGUGCCCGCCGCAGCGGAUCGAUCCGUUUCUCGUUCCUUCGUCCACACAGCCCAGGUAUCUUCUUUCUCCCUGCUGUUUUCCUCUGACGUCUCUCUCUCUCUUCAUUUUCUCCCAUCGAGCAUGCUGGAACAGAGCUAGCUGCCUAGCUUCCACUCCUCCCCCACUUUUCUCCACAGAUUUUCUCAGCCUCCGAUUUGAAAGGUGAGAACCUUGGCCGGAACUGCAAGGUCCUGAUUCGAUUAUGAAUCCAGAGGUUUGAGCGGCCAGGAGAUCUUCGCACGGUGGCAGCGUACGGAUUCGACGGCAGCGACAUGCUCAAGAGUUGGGAUCGGCGUCGCGCCACAUGCAGAGGCCGCCGCCGGCGUGCAGCAUCCCCAGUGCUUCUCCGGCCGUCCGCCGCGCCGCCUCGCCACUGGCUGCCGGCCAGCUCUCGUUGUCUUGUUUGGUGUUUGGGUGGGUGGAUUUAACGGUUUGAAGCCAGACCACCCAGUUAUGUUAGGAUACGAUGGGCUGGUUUGGCUUACGGAACCAGCCCACCUAAAUGUCACUCAAACGGGUUGACGUGGGUUGGAUUAGUUUGGGUGGAUUAAGAUAAACCAUGCUCAACGCUGGCUAUAGGUCAUGUUUGUUUGGGCUUCUGCUUCAGUUUUUGGUGCUUCUACCAAUAUGCGCAUAAAAAAGGUAUAAACAGGCAAAAGACAUGCAUGUUGGCCUGGUUUUAAUUUUAAGAUUGUGACCUUUUAGAUUUUGAAACCAUGUAAAUUGCUGAA